GGACUGGCUGGUCGAGGAGGGGAGGGCGAUCACAGCUCGCCCGUGAGGAACUGCGCGCGGCCGUGGCCGAAGCUCCAGUCCUCGUCGGUGUUC
rnacentral:tRNA from 1 species